rnacentral:rRNA from 1 species
CAGCAGCCGCGGUAAUACAGAGGGUGCGAGCGUUAAUCGGAUUUACUGGGCGUAAAGCGUGCGUAGGCGGCUUUUUAAGGCGGAUGUGAAAUCCCUGAGCUUAACUUAGGAAUUGCAUUCGAUACUGGGAAGCUAGAGUAUGGGAGAGGAUGGUAGAAUUCCAGGUGUAGCGGUGAAAUGCGUAGAGAUCUGGAGGAAUACCGAUGGCGAAGGCAGCCAUCUGGCCUAAUACUGACGCUGAGGUACGAAAGCAUGGGGAGCAAACAGGAUUAGAGACCCCUGUAGUCCCUGUCUCUUAUAC